UUUGACUGCUGAUUGGGUUGAGCCGUGGGGAAGGGGUUAGCCUAAUGUAAACUCUUUUCACUAUAAAUGAUGGAGAAUUGGAAGAAGCCUUGGAACAGAUUUCAGUUGCAUUCGAAUCUCGCUUCUAAAAUUUCGUCUUCAACUGAUAAUCGGUAAUAAAUGAGUAUGAAGCCAGGUGCGACGUUUCUCCUGGGGGCUAUGUUCGGUGCCCUUUUAACUGGAGGAUUCAAAUCGCUGCCGCCAUCUUAAAGAAACAAGCAGUAGCGGUAGCAGGGGAGAAAACAGGCGCUGCCCUCGCACCAAACCAACUCAAAACAAACCAGCUGAUGCCAACCCAGGCCCCCAAGUGGAACAGCAAUCGGAAGCAACGCUUGUUGGCUCGUGAUUGAAGACAUGGGUGUGUUUUGCUUUGUAGAUCGUAUUAGGUUAGAAGAGGGUCAUGUGGGGUCGACCUUCAUUCAGCCUGAUGUGUGUUUUUACAUUGCUUAAUGUCUUUGCUGUCCUUUUUAUACUGUACUUGUAAUUUAAGAAUAAUUUGAGCAGACAUGCAUACAUGUCGAAUAACAUUUGAACCCAAAAAACUGAAGUUCUCUAUUUUCAUGUAUAUAUACCAUCUUUUAUGUUUAGCCUUUUAAUAAAAAGUAAUAUACAUUAACAAAUUUCUC
rnacentral:lncRNA from 1 species